AUUGAACGCUGGCGGCAGGCCUAACACAUGCAAGUCGAGCGGAGCGGCGGACGGGUGAGUCAUGCCUAGGAAUCUGCCUGGUAGUGGGGGAUAACGUCCGGAAACGGGCGCUAAUACCGCAUACUAUCAGAUGAGCCUAGGUCGGAUUGGCUAGUUGGGGGUGUAAAGGCCUAACAAGGCGACGAUCCGUAACUGGUCUGCGAGGAGGGUCAGUCACACUGGAACUGAGACACGGUCCAGAAUCCUACGGGAGGCAGCAGUGUGUAAGAUUGGACAAUGGGCGAUAGCCUGAUCCAGCCAUGCGGCGGUUGGGAAGAAGGUCUUCGGAUGUUAAAGCACUUUAAGUUGGGAGGCGUUACCAACAGAAUAAUUACCGGCUAACUUCGUGCCAGCAGCCGCUGUAAUAC
rnacentral:rRNA from 1 species